CAGCCGCCGCGGUAAUACCGGCGGCCCGAGUGGCGGUCACUCUUAUUGGGCUUAAAGCGUCCGUAGCCGGGUUGGGAAGGCCUCCGGGAAAUCUGGCCGCUUAACGGUCAGAAUGCCGGAGGAUACUCCCAGCCUAGGGACCGGGAGAGGGCGAGGGUAUUCCCGGAGGAGGGGUGAAAUCCUAUAAUCCCGGGAGGACCACCUGUGGCGAAGGCGCUCGGCUGGAACGCGUCCGACGGUGAGGGACGAAGGCCAGGGGAGCAAACCGGAUUAGAUACCCGGGUAGUCCUGGCUGUAAACGAUGCGGACUUUGUGUCGGACAAGCUAUGAGCUUGUCCGGUGCCGGAGGGAAACCGUUAAGUCCGCCGCCUGGGGAGUACGGCCGCAAGGCUGAAACUUAAAGGAAUUGGCGGG
rnacentral:rRNA from 1 species